GUGCCAGCAGCCGCGGUAAUACAGAGGUGGCAAGCGUUGUUCGGAUUUAUUGGGCGUAAAGGGUUCGUAGGCGGACCGGAAAGUCAGAUGUGAAAUCCCACAGCUCAACUGUGGAACUGCAUUUGAAACUUCCGGACUAGAGUGUGAGAGGGGUAAAGGGAAUUCCCGGUGUAAGGGUGAAAUCUGCAGAGAUCGGGAGGAACACCAGUCGCGAAGGCGCUUUACUGGCUCACUACUGACGCUCAGGAACGAAAGCUAGGGUAGCAAACGGGAUUAGAAACCCGGGUAGUCC
rnacentral:rRNA from 1 species